rnacentral:sRNA from 1 species
AGGGACGGGUCGACAAACAAAAACAACAAGCCCGAAAUCAUAAUAAAAACAAAGCACGCACCUACUUGGGGGGGAGCUUCGGCUCCCCCAGUAGCUUCACCCCUCCC